rnacentral:rRNA from 1 species
AUGGCGAGGGCGGUGGUGAUGGCCGUGCUGCUGAUGCAGUGCUGCAACGUGGUCCUCGCGGCGAGGCUGCUCGAGGGAGACGGCGGUUGGCUGCGCGGCGGCGUUGGCGCCGCUGGGGCGCUUAUCAUGCAGGUCCUGCCCAGGGGCGGCGGCUCUGCGGGAGCACCCAACGGCUGCACCAACAACCCCAAACACCCACCCGGUGGGAAAUGCCACGGCUAG